GACGAACGCUGGCGGCGUGCUUAACACAUGCAAGUCGAACGGUGAAGCGCUUGCCUUUUUGGUGGGUGUGGAUGAGUGGCGAACGGGUGAGUAACACGUGAGUAACCUGCCCUCUUCUUCUGGAUAACCUCAUGAAAGUGGGGCUAAUACGGGGUAUUCCGGGUCUGUCGCAUGGCGGGUUUGGGAAAGAUUGCGCCUUUGGGUGUUUUCGGUGGGGGAUGGGCUCGCGGCCUAUCAGCUUGUUGGUGGGGUGAUGGCCUACCAAGGCGGUGACGGGUAGCCGGCCUGAGAGGGUGGACGGCCACACUGGGACUGAGACACGGCCCAGACUCCUGCGGGAGGCAGCAGUGGGGAAUAGUGCACAAUGGGCGCAAGCCUGAUGCAGCGACGCCGCGUGAGGGAUGGAGGCCUUCGGGUUGUGAACCUCUUUCGCCAGUGAAGAAGGCCUGCUCCUGUGUGGGUGGGUUGACGGUAGCUGGAUAAGAAGCGCCGGCUAACUACGUG
rnacentral:rRNA from 1 species